rnacentral:rRNA from 1 species
AGUGAACGCUGGCGGUAGGCCUAACACAUGCAAGUCGAACGGCAGCACAGUAAGAGCUUGCUCUUACGGGUGGCGAGUGGCGGACGGGUGAGGAAUACAUCGGAAUCUACUUUUUCGUGGGGGAUAACGUAGGGAAACUUACGCUAAUACCGCAUACGACCUACGGGUGAAAGCAGGGGAUCUUCGGACCUUGCGCGAUUGAAUGAGCCGAUGUCGGAUUAGCUAGUUGGCGGGGUAAAGGCCCACCAAGGCGACGAUCCGUAGCUGGUCUGAGAGGAUGAUCAGCCACACUGGAAGUGAGACGCGGUCCAGACUCCUACGGGAGGCAGCAGUGGGGAAUAUGGGACAAUGGGCGCAAGCCUGAUCCAGCCAUACCGCGUGGGUGAAGAAGGCCUUCGGGUUGUAAAGCCCUUUUGUUGGGAAAGAAAAGCAGCAGGUUAAUACCCCGCUGUUCUGACGGUACCCAAAGAAUAAGCACCGGCUAACUUCGUG